GAUGAACGCUGGCGGCGUGCUUAACACAUGCAAGUCGAACGGAAAGGCCCAAGCUUGCUUGGGUACUCGAGUGGCGAACGGGUGAGUAACACGUGGGUGAUCUGCCCUGCACUUCGGGAUAAGCCUGGGAAACUGGGUCUAAUACCGGAUAGGACGACGGUCUGGAUGCCAUUGUGGAAAGUGUUUCCGGGGUGGGAUGAGGUCUCGGCCUAUCAGCGUGUUGGUGGGGUAUUGGCGUACAAAGGGGUCGUGGGGUAGCCGGGGUGAGAGGGGGUACGGCGCCAUUGUGGGUGAGAUACAGGGCCGAGUCCUAUGCGGGGGGGCGGAGGGGAGUAUAGUACACAGGGGGCGAGACUGAGGCGGAGACGCGGCGUGUGGGGUGUCGGGGCUCGGGUUGUAAACUCCUUUUGCUAGGGUGAAGGAGUGUUUGUGACGGUACCUGGUAAAGAAGCACCGGCUAACUACGUG
rnacentral:rRNA from 1 species